AUGGUCCCUCCACUCGCAGGCUUGGGUGUGGCCUGGGAUGAUGUCCCCCAGGGGCUGGGCAAGACCCCCUCGAUGGUCCCUCCACUCGCAGGCUUGGGUGUGGCCUGGGAUGAUGUCCCCCAGGGGCUGGGCAAGACCCCCUCGAUGGUCCCUCCACUCGCAGGCUUGGGUGUGGCCUGGGAUGGUGUCCCCCAGGGGCUGGCAAGACCCCCUCGAUGGUCCCUCCACUCGCAGGCUUGGGUAUGGCCUGGGAUGGUGUCCCCCAGGGGCUGGGCAAGACCCCCUCGAUGGUCCCUCCACUCGCAGGCUUGGGUGUGGCCUGGGAUGGUGUCCCCCAGGGGCUGGCAAGACCCCCUCGAUGGUCCCUCCACUCGCAGGCUUGGGUGUGGCCUGGAUGGUGUCCCCCAGGGGCUGGGCAAGACCCCCUCGAUGGUCCCUCCACUCGCAGGCUUGGGUAUGGCCUGGGAUGGUGUCCCCCCGGGGCUGGGCAAGACUCCCUGGAUGGUCUCUCCCCUAGUAGGCUUGGGUGUGGCCUGGGAUGGUGUCCCCCCGGGGCUGGGCAAGACUCCCUGGAUGGUCUCUCCCCUAGUAGGCUUGGGAGUGGUCUGGGAUGGUGUCCCCCCGGGGCUGGGCAAGACUCCCUGGAUGGUCUCUCCCCUAGUAGGCUUGGGUGUGGCCUGGGAUGAUGUCCCCCAGGGGCUGGGCAAGACCCCCUCGAUGGUCCCUCCACUCGCAGGCUUGGGUGUGGCCUGGGAUGGUGUCCCCCAGGGGCUGGGCAAGACCCCCUCGAUGGUCCCUCCACUCGCAGGCUUGGGUGUGGCCUGGGAUGGUGUCCCCCAGGGGCUGGGCAAGACUCCCUGGAUGGUCUCUCCCCUAGUAGGCUUGGGUGUGGCCUGGGAUGGUGUCCCCCAGGGGCUGGGCAAGACUCCCUGGAUGGUCCCUCCACUCGCAGGCUUGGGUGUGGCCUGGGAUGAUGUCCCCCAGGGGCUGGGCAAGACCCCCUCGAUGGUCCCUCCACUCGCAGGCUUGGGUGUGGCCUGGGAUGGUGUCCCCCCGGGGUUGGGCAAGACUCCCUGGAUGGUCUCUCCCCUAGUAGGCUUGGGAGUGGUCUGGGAUGGUGUCCCCCCGGGGCUGGGCAAGACUCCCUGGAUGGUCUCUCCCCUAGUAGGCUUGGGAGUGGUCUGGGAUGGUGGUCCCCCCGGGGCUGGGCAAGACUCCCUGGAUGGUCUCUCCCCUAGUAGGCUUGGGAGUGGUCUGGGAUGGCUCACAAAGCUGGAGGCUGCCACAGCUUGGACUCUUCACCAGCCUUCUCCCUUGCUCUCAUCUCUCCACCACAGUCUACACACAGUCGCCUCUGGGUAGCCAGACUUCUUCCAUGGUGACUCAGAGGUCCAAGCACCACCUCCCCAGAGAAACCAUAAGCAAGUGCAUUGAUUUUUCUAACCUGGCCUCAGGAGCCAAGCAGUAAAAUUUCUGCUGCACUCUAUUUAUUGAGGAUGUACCACCCAGGCUCAGCAGGAGGGACACAGGCCCCAUCCCCUACUCCCAAUCUUCCAGAUUGCGAAGGGGGGGGCGGUCAGGAAUUUGUGGACGUAUUUUAAAACCACCACAGUUUGCUCUUUGGUGAUAAAUUAUUUCCAUUUCUUAUUUUAUAUUCCUUUUAUAUGCAAUCCUAUACAGACUCAUCCCAAGUGAUCUUGUCUAUAAGGGCAUCAAGUUCAAAUUCAAGGUCCGCUAAAUAUGGAUCAGAUGCAGAGAAGUCUCCUCUUGAUCUGGAUAUCUGUGAAACAGAUCAAAUCGCUAUCGCAACAUGGCAAAUGGCUUCCGAAUGCAAGAGUCUGGGAAGAGAUCCAGGCUGCUAGAGAAGCCCUGAAGGGUCAUCUGCUAAGUAUGGGAAAUUAUGGGGGAUGUAAGUGAUAUAUGUGGAUAUAUAGGUAUGUGUACAUCUAUCUACUAGAUACAUAUCUAGAUGCAUGUCGAUAUUGUGAUAAAAUGUAUGUGUAUUUUGACCUGUGUGUCUAUAUAUUUUUGACAAAAACAUUUCUAAUGAUGAAAAAUGUUCACUUUGAAAAACAAUGAACAAGCAGAAGAUUCUACACAAAUCCUGAAGAGGUUACGCAGUGAGGAAAAAUUACUGUGUCUCUAGGUACACGGUAAAGCAUGCUUCAAAAUAAUUAACGAAAAGAACCUGCUUUGCUCAUUUGUUCCUUUUCCUUUACUGACUCUACACUGGUUAAGCCUUAUGUUUUCAGCGAAUACUACAUUGUGAAGAGCCACGGAAAACUUUACAGGACGCUGUAUAUCUCUCAGUGGCUGGCUCCACACAUGUGCUGAAGAUCGGCUACCCGAACAGACAGAAUACAUUUCUGUGUUGCCCUUACUGAAGAGACGGGGACAGGGUGCCCAGUACUGACAUCAGGGGCUGCAGAACACGGUACGCCGUGUUGCUGCCUGUCACAUCUGGUUUCAGUGGGGUUCUGUGUAUGUCUACCCCGCCUACCGUGGAUUGCCAUGAACGAGUGUUCCUCAACUUGGGCCCUGGGGCAGUUGGAUCGUUCCCUCGCACAGAAAGCGCAAGAUGGCUGAAAGAAUAGUUCGUCUGCAGUAGUGUUCCCAACAUCUGCUGAGAUCAACCGGCAGAUGGGAAAGACUCUGAACAUGGCUGAGAGCUAAUAUAUAUCCCCUAAAUAAACAGCCGAGAUGAUCUUAAUAGGAAGCCUGA
rnacentral:lncRNA from 1 species